AUACGGGGGGCAAGCGUUGUUCGGAAUUACUGGGCGUAAAGGGCGCGUAGGCGGCCUGCUAAGUCACACGUGAAAUCCCCCGGCUCAACCGGGGAACUGCGUGUGAUACUGGCGGGCUCGAAUUCGGGAGAGGGAUGUGGAAUUCCAGGUGUAGCGGUGAAAUGCGUAGAUAUCUGGAGGAACACCGGUGGCGAAGGCGGCAUCCUGGACCGACAUUGACGCUGAUGCGCGAAAGCUAGGGUAGCAAACGGG
rnacentral:rRNA from 1 species